GAGGGGACUCGGGAGUCGGAG
rnacentral:miRNA from 1 species